GGCCGGGCGCGGUGGCACGUGCGGGCGCGGCCGCAGGGACUUCCCUGGUGGUGCAGUGGUUAAGAAUCCGCCUGCCAAUGCAGGGGACACCGAUUCCAGCCCUGGUGGGGAAAGAUCCCACAUGCCGCGGAGCAACUAAGCCCAUGCGCCACAACUACUGAGCCUGUGCUUUAGAGCCUGCGAGCCACAACUACUGAGCCUCUGCGCCUAGAGCCUGUGCUCUGCAACAAGAGAAGCCACUGCAAUGAGAAGCCCACACACUGCCACGAAGAGUAGCCCCCGCUCGCCGCAACUAGAGAAAGCCGGCACGCAGCAAUGAAGACCCAAGGCAGCCAAAAAUAAAUAAAUAAAUUUCUAAAAGAAAAAAAAAAGGAAGAGGAAGGGGAGAAGCAUCAUAAAUAACUUUAGAGACAUGGAGGAAAAUGCCAGAAGCCACCAAAACUGCUGAAAGGGGGUCUGGUCCGGGGAGCAUGGGGCUGGGCAUGGCUAUUUUCCAUGAUGGGGAUUUUAGUGAUUUUUUUUUUUUUUUUUUUUUUUUUUAGCUACACAUAUAUUAGUUUUAAAACGUGUUGAGGCAACACUGUGAUGAAAACACCAUGGCCAGUGAGGCUCGGUGGGGGCCUGGGUCUGAGCUCGGCUGCUGGGCGCCCCUCCAGCACUGUCCAAGGCGGGGUGGCAGUGGUGCCUCAUCCAAGGUCAUGUUUUUUUUUUUAAGAUGUUGGGGGUAGGAGUUUAAUUAAUUAUUUUUGCUGUGUUGGGUCUUCGUUUCUCUGCUAGGGCUUUCUCUAGUUGUGGCAAGCGGGGGUAACUCUUCAUCGCGGUGCGCGGGCCUCUCACUAUCGCGGCCUCUUUUGUUGCGGAGCACAGGCUCCAGACGCGCAGGCUUAGUAGUUGUGGCUCACGGGCUUAGUUGCUCCACGGCAUGUGGGAUCCUCCCAGACCAGGGCUCGAACCCCUGUCCCCUGCAUUAGCAGGCAGAUUCUCAACCACUGUGCCACCAGGGAAGCCCCAAGGUCAUGUUUUGAGAGAAUAAUAGUCAAGGAAAAGAACUUUGUUGCCAAAGAAUAUGAAACCACAAAACUGCCUUCCCUGCACCAUUUCCACUUUCAGUCUUCCCUCUCCAGUUAUUAAAAUGUGCUUGUGGCAGUUGAUUUUGGAGUGGGCUCAUGGUUACUUUUGUGAAUUGGGUUGGGUUUGAAAUAAAAUUUACAUGCAAUGAAAGGCACCUGCUUUCACUGCCCUGUGCGUAAGCUCUUCCUGCCCAGAUGAGUGGCUGCAGGACCCAGUUGGCUCUUCCCUCUCUGUCGGUCACCUGGACCAGUUUUGCCUCCUCUGGGGCUUCAUGUAAACAGAAUCGAUUUUUUUUCCCCCUUUUUGGCUGUACCGUGGCACAUGGAAUGUCCCUGACCUGGGAUCGAACCUGUGCCCCCUGCAGUAGAAGCUCGGAGUCCUAACCACUGGACUGCCAGGGAAGUCCACGGAAUCACUUUGUACUCCCAUGUGGGAAACAUCAGCACAGACACACCCAGAAAUGUUUUACCAGCUAUCCAGACGUUCCUCAGCCCGGUCAAGUUGACACCUACAAUUAACAUCACAGCGUGCUUCUGUGUCUGGCUUCUCUCACUGAGCGUCGUGUUCUCAAGGGGAAGACGAGCAGCGCCCAGGCCCCAACACGCCACUUCCAUAUCCAUCGAGAGGUGCCCGGAUGGAAGGCCGGCUGUGCUCCGUUUUGAGCCCCAGGUAAUUCAUACAAACAGCCCUCCCGGCCACGGGGCGCCCACCCACUGGCUCUGGGCCAGCGACCAGCCCAGGACACAGAAGGCACACAGAAGUAGGUGCAGGGAGCUGAGCCGGUGCGGCAGAAGGGCAGACACCACAGCCUGGUCCACAGCCGACUGGCCCAGGACAGGUGAGAACGGGCGGGCAGGCUGAGGGGAGGAUGGGGCGUGACACGGCCUUCCCGCCUGGGCCCCGGGGAGAAGGUCAGGGCACUGCCCGCGCCCUCGCUCCGCUGCCUGGCGUCCUUUGUGGGGACGAAGGGCCGGAGGCAGGGCUCCCGAGGAGCUCAAAGGCCAGGGAGGGACACACGGGAUGAUCCAGACCCACGCUACCGCUCCAGUGGGGCAGCACCCUCCUACUGCCACCAAAACACAUCCCUAAGGCCUUUUGGAAAAAUUG